AUGACCUCUAUCUAUUAUCAUUUUCAUGCAAUUAGGCCUAGCAGUAAGUCAUUAACUUGAAAGGUUUUAAUGAUUGGAUUCUUUAACAACUUAAUAAACUAUACUACUUUAUUAAUAAUAACUUGAACUAUGAUUCAAUAUUGCUGAUUUGUGAAAUGAUGUCAAUAUGAAGGUGCCAAUGUGAAAACAAAUACAGUAUCUCUUCUCAUGCUAUAUGAUGAUGAAGAUAUAUAUAUAUAUAUAGAGAUUACUAUUUUGAUAUCAUGAUCCUUAUUCCAAAAGUCAACUAACUCUCAAUGGUCUAAAACUAUUCCUUAAUCAGCUAAACACCAAGCCAAAUUGUCAUCUACAACCAAUAAGUUGGCUGUAAUGCCAAGCCAAAUUUAAUAAGCUGCUAUUUGGAGAAUAAAACUAUUGGCUGACUGUUGCAAAUUACCAUAAGCAGCGGAUAAAAGUGACUCCUCCGAUGAGCCUGAGAUCCAGUAUUGAUGCCUAGUGGUUGCCAGCAAGUGAGCUCUAUGGUCGCCAUGUGACUGAAAAUUAAAAGAUCAGUUCCAGUCCUCACCCAUUCACGGAGACAAACCAUGUCCAUGUCCAAAAAU
rnacentral:lncRNA from 1 species